AGUGAACGCUGGCGGUAGGCCUAACACAUGCAAGUCGAACGGCAGCACAGAGGAGCUUGCUCCUUGGGUGGCGAGUGGCGGACGGGUGAGGAAUACAUCGGAAUCUACUCUGUCGGGGGGGAUAACGUAGGGAAACUUACGCUAAUACCGCAUACGACCUACGGGUGAAAGCAGGGGAUCUUCGGACCUUGCGCGAUUGAAUGCGCCGAUGUCGGAUUAGCUAGUUGGCGGGGUAAAGGCCCACCAAGGCGACGAUCCGUAGCUGGUCUGAGAGGAUGAUCAGCCACACUGGAACUGAGACACGGUCCAGACUCCUACGGGAGGCAGCAGUGGGGAAUAUUGGACAAUGGGCGCAAGCCUGAUCCAGCCAUACCGCGUGGGUGAAGAAGGCCUUCGGGUUGUAAAGCCCUUUUGUUGGGAAAGAAAUCCAUCUGGUUAAUACCCGGGUGGGAUGACGGUACCCGAAGAAUAAGCACCGGCUAACUUCGUGCCAGCAGCCGCGGUAA
rnacentral:rRNA from 1 species